rnacentral:rRNA from 1 species
AGAAAGGGACGGCUAACUACGUGCCAGCAGCCGCGGUAAUACGUAGGUCCCGAGCGUUGUCCGGAUUUAUUGGGCGUAAAGCGAGCGCAGGCGGUUUGAUAAGUCUGAAGUUAAAGGCUGUGGCUCAACCAUAGUUCGCUUUGGAAACUGUCAAACUUGAGUGCAGAAGGGGAGAGUGGAAUUCCAUGUGUAGCGGUGAAAUGCGUAGAUAUAUGGAGGAACACCGGUGGCGAAAGCGGCUCUCUGGUCUGUAACUGACGCUGAGGCUCGAAAGCGUGGGGAGCGAACAGGAUUAGAUACCCUGGUAGUCCACGCCGUAAACGAUGUCGACUAGCCGUUGGGAUCCUUGAGAUCUUAGUGGCGCAGCUAACGCAUUAAGUCGACCGCCUGGGGAGUACGGCCGCAAGGUUAAACUCAAAUGAAUUGACGGGGUGUCGACGCGGCC